AGAAGAAAAAGGGAAACACAAUUCAUCAAUCACAGACGAAGAAAAAUUUAAACCUACGAAAGACUUGGAGAUGGAUAUUGAACUAGAUAGUGAAAAUAUAAACCUGAAGAAAAUUUCAGGAGUUUCUUCUGAAG